rnacentral:rRNA from 1 species
UACAGAGGUCCCGAGCGUUGUUCGGAUUCACUGGGCGUAAAGGGUGCGUAGGUGGUUGUGCAAGUCUGAUGUGAAAUCUCCGGGCUCAACCCGGAAAUGGCAUUGGAAACUGCAGUGGCUAGAGGGUUGGAGGGGGACUGGAAUACUUGGUGUAGCAGUGAAAUGCGCAGAUAAUCAGGAGGAACACCGGGUGGCGAAGGCGGGUCUCUGG